AGAAUGACUCUCGGCAACGGAUAUCUAGGCUCUUGCAUCGAUGAAGAACGUAGCGAAAUGCGAUACUUGGUGUGAAUUGCAGAAUUCCGUGAACCAUCGAGUCUUUGAACGCAAGUUGCGCCCGAUGCCAUUAGGUUGAGGGCACGUCUGCCUGGGUGUCACAU
rnacentral:rRNA from 1 species